GAAUCUCCAUAACCCUCGAGAAUUUUAUCUCUCCGUGCAAAUCUCUCUGUAUCAAAGCUCGAAAAGCAUAGAAUAGCAGAACAACAAAUCUCAUGGCAAUGGCUGGGCGUCUCAGAUCGGGUCUACCUCUACUCAAUAGGGUUCUGAGAUCUGAUUCCCUCUCUGCUUCCCGAUCAGCCGUUCAACGCUCCGUUCUUUGCCCUGCUUUCACAUCUGAGGCUUCAAAAAAUUUUGCUACUUCGUCAGGACAAAAGGAGGAGAAGGUUAAGGUGCCACUUGCUUUGUUUGGGGGAUCUGGAAACUAUGCCUCUGCUUUGUACCUUGCUGCCAAAAAAGCUAAUGUACUGGACAAGGUUGAGUCUGAUAUUCUUGACCUUGUGGAGGCUUCAAAGAGAAGCCCUACAUUUUCUCAGUUUACAAAGGACUUGUCAGUGCCUUCUGAAACAAGAAUCAAGGCCAUUAAUGAAAUUUCUGCCCAAGCUAAAUUUUCAGAUGUUACAAAGAACUUUUUAGUUGUGUUGGCUGAGAAUGGAAGGUUAAGAAACAUUGAUAGCAUUGCAAAGAGAUUCGUGGAGUUGACCAUGGCAGAUAAGGGAGAAGUGAAAGCUAUAGUCACAAGUGUCAUUCCCUUGCCUCCAGAAGAGGAGAAAGAAUUGAAGGAGACACUGCAGGAAAUAAUUGGAAAAGGAAAGAAAGUUAAGCUCGAACAGAAGAUUGAUCCUAGUAUUCUUGGGGGCCUUGUGGUAGAGUUUGGGCAGAAGGUGUUUGAUAUGUCCAUUAAGACGAGGGCGAAGCAGAUGGAGAGGUUCUUGCGUGAGCCUAUCAACUUUGGCAUCGUGUAAAAGGUGUUGCACCCCUUGAGGAUACCUAUUUAUCAACUUUCCAUCAAUGCUCUAGGAAGAAAAAAAAAUACUCUGAACUUUUUGCUUGGUUUUGUUCUCUUGUACCCUCCAUUUUCAUGUGAUGGGAAAGCAUAUGUUUGCAAAUAAAAAUUUGUUCAGGGCAAUCACAAACAGACCUCUACGUUCUUGAUUUUCAUUUUAUUGGUACUUCAUUUUUUUGAGGUCAUAAUUUGUUUAAUUGUUACUGGUCUAUUUGGUAUUGCAAUUGUUGUUAUAAUUACUAUUCAGAAAAACACCUCCG
rnacentral:misc_RNA from 1 species